CACGGCGCACGGGUGCGUAACACGUGGGCAAUCUGCCCUCCGGUGGGGAAUAACCCCGCGAAAGCGGGGCUAAUUCCGCAUAACAUUCCCUGGACUCUGGUUCGGGGAUUCAAAGCAGCAAUGCGCCGGAGGAGGAGCCCGCGCCCGAUUAGCUAGUUGGUGAGGUGACGGCUCACCAAGGCAAUGAUCGGUAGCUGGUCUGAGAGGAUGGCCAGCCACACUGGAACUGAGACACGGUCCAGACUCCUACGGGAGGCAGCAGUGGGGAAUCUUGCGCAAUGGGCGAAAGCCUGACGCAGCGACGCCGCGUGGGGGAUGAAGCUUCUCGGAGUGUAAACCCCUUUCGACCGGGACGAAUGCCCGCAAGGGAGUGACGGUACCGGUAGAAGAAGCCCCGGCUAACUACGUGCCAGCAGCCGCGGUAAGACGUAGGGGGCCAGCGUUGUUCGGAAUUACUGGGUGUAAAGGGUUCGUAGGCGGUGUGGCAAGUCGGGAGUGAAAUUUCUGGGCUUAACCCAGAAGCUGCUUCCGAAACUGCUGUGCUAGAGUGCGGGAGAGGCGCGUGGAAUUGCAGGUGUAGCGGUGAAAUGCGUAGAUAUCUGCAGGAACACCCGUGGCGAAAGCGGCGCGCUGGACCGUUACUGACGCUGAGGAACGAAAGCUAGGGGAGCAAACAGGAUUAGAUACCCUGGUAGUCCUAGCCCUAAACGAUCAGGACUUGGGGUGCCUUCCGUUCGGAAGUCGUCCCGGAGCUAACGCGUUAAGUUUUGCACCUGGGGAGUACGGUCGCAAGACUGAAACUCAAAGGAAUUGACGGGGGCCCGCACAAGCGGUGGAACAUGUGGUUCAAUUCGA
rnacentral:rRNA from 1 species